AGAGUUUGAUCAUGGCUCAGGACGAACGCUGACGGUGUGCUUUAGACAUGCAAGUCGAACGAGAAAGCCCUUCGGGGUGAGUACAGUGGCGAACGGGUGAGUAACACGUGGGCAAUCUGCCCCUCGUAGGGGGAUAACCGGGGGAAACCCCGGCUAAUACCCCGUACGCUUGCGGAGUCGCAUGGCUCCGUAAGGAAAGGUAGCUUCGGCCAUCCGGCGAGGGAUGAGCCCGCGGUACAUUAGCUAGUUGGUGGGGUAACGGCCUACCAAGGCGACGAUGUAUAGCUGGUCUGAGAGGAUGAUCAGCCACACUGGGACUGAGACACGGCCCAGACUCCUACGGGAGGCAGCAGUGGGGAAUAUUGGACAAUGGGCGCAAGCCUGAUCCAGCCACGCCGCGUGAGUGAUGAAGGCCCUAGGGUUGUAAAGCUCUUUCACCCACGACGAUAAUGACGGUAGUGGGAGAAGAAGCCCCGGCUAACUUCGUGCCAGCAGCCGCGGUAAUACGAAGGGGGCUAGCGUUGCUCGGAAUCACUGGGCGUAAAGGGCGCGUAGGCGGACCUUUAAGUCAGGGGUGAAAGCCUGUGGCUCAACCACAGAAUUGCCUUUGAUACUGAGGGUCUCGAGACCGGAAGAGGUUGGUGGAACUGCGAGUGUAGAGGUGAAAUUCGUAGAUAUUCGCAAGAACACCAGUGGCGAAGGCGGCCAACUGGUCCGGUUCUGACGCUGAGGCGCGAAAGCGUGGGGAGCAAACAGGAUUAGAUACCCCCGUAGUCC
rnacentral:rRNA from 2 species